UACAAGGAAAGACUGGUCUG
rnacentral:snRNA from 1 species